GGUAUUUGAGAUUGUGAGGUUUGGGCAAGAGUAUGAGAACAAUGGGAAGCUUGAAAAUGAACGGGGAAGGAGAUAGAGGGAUGAAUGUUGUUUUUAUAAAGUUUCUCUGUUUUGUUAGGUUGACCAAAAAAUUUGGUAACAGGAAAGAAAAUUUUGAACUUUUUUCUUGUAUUUUUUAACUGCAUUGUUGUGUGGUUGUAUAUAUCAAAUGUAGGAGCAUUUUGUGGGUUUUCAUUUGAAUUAUAACUAAAAAAACUUUAC
rnacentral:lncRNA from 1 species